UUCGAGGGUGUGACCUCUUGGCCGUGCGGUUUGCUUGCCGUCACCUUGGUCGCCGGCGUACCGUUGAAGAGUGUAUUGUUCUGGUCCCUUUCCUAGCCCUGUGCUACCUUUGCUGGUUCCUUCCCUGCCCGAUUCUGAUGAUUACUUAGGUCCAUUUUUGCCUGUUUGGCGGAGAUGUCAUUAGGAUUUGUUUUGCUGGUUAGUGACAAGUAGUGUUCUUCCUCUUGCAGUGGAUAAGUUGUGGCUCUUCAAGGAUAGCUCACAUUGCUUAGUUGCGCAGAGAACUAGGAGAUUUCAUCUAACAAUCUUGGCUGAGCUUGUUCAAUUGACAAGAUACGGCAGGAAAGUA